rnacentral:rRNA from 1 species
GAAGUCGGAAUCGCUAGUAAUCGCAGAUCGGCAUGUUGCGGUGAAUACGUUCCCGGGUCUUGUACACACCGCCCGCCAAACCAUGAGAGUCACCAACACCCGAAGUCCGCCUUGGCGGCCUAAGGUGGGGGAGAUGAUUGGGGUUAAGUCGUAACAAGGUAUC